rnacentral:rRNA from 1 species
AGUCCAGACUCCUACGGGAGGCAGCAGUGGGGAAUAUUGCACAAUGGGGGAAACCCUGAUGCAGCGACGCCGCGUGAGCGAAGAAGUAUUUCGGUAUGUAAAGCUCUAUCAGCAGGGAAGAAAUUGACGGUACCUGAGUAAGAAGCUCCGGCUAAAUACGUGCCAGCAGCCGCGGUAAUACGUAUGGAGCAAGCGUUAUCCGGAUUUACUGGGUGUAAAGGGAGCGUAGGCGGCCUGCCAAGUCUGAUGUGAAAUACCGGGGCUCAACCCCGGGGCUGCAUUGGAAACUGGCAGGCUGGAGUGUCGGAGAGGCAGACGGAAUUCCUAGUGUAGCGGUGAAAUGCGUAGAUAUUAGGAGGAACACCAGUGGCGAAGGCGGCCUGCUGGACGAUGACUGACGCUGAGGCUCGAAAGCGUGGGGAGCGAACAGGAUUAGAUACCCUUGUAC